rnacentral:SRP_RNA from 2 species
GCUAGGCAUGGUGGUGCAUGCCUGUAGUCCCAGCUACUUGGGAGGCUGAGGUGGGAGAAUCACUUAAGCCCAGAAGUUGAGGCUGCAGUGAGGCAUGAUCAUGCCACUGCACUUCAGUCUGGGCAACAGAAUGAGACCCUGUCUCAA